UUAGUGGCGGACGGGUGAGUAACGCGUGGAUAACCUGCCUUAUACAGGGGGAUAACGGAGAGAAAUUUCCGCUAAGACCGCAUAAGACCACGGCACCGCAUGGUGCAGGGGUAAAAUAUUUAUAGGUAUAAGAUGGAUUCGCGUCCGAUUAGCUAGUUGGUGAGGUAGAGGCUCACCAAGGCGACGAUCGGUAGCCGGCCUGAGAGGGUGAACGGCCACAUUGGGACUGAGACACGGCCCAA
rnacentral:rRNA from 1 species